GACGAACCUUGCUAACGUUAUUCGGAAUUACUGGGCUUAAAGGGUGCGUAGGCGGUGCGGAAAGUUGGGUGUGAAAGCCCUCGGCUCAACCGAGGAAUUGCGCCCAAAACUGCCGCACUAGAGGAAGACAGAGGUACGCGGAACUUAGGGUGGAGCGGUGAAAUGCGUUGAUAUCCUAAGGAACACCGGUCGGCGAAAGCGGCGUACUGGGUCUUAUCUGACGCUGAGGCACGAAAGCUAGGGAGCGAACGGG
rnacentral:rRNA from 1 species